rnacentral:rRNA from 1 species
GAUGAACGCUGGCGGCGUGCCUAAUACAUGCCAGUCGAGCGAACAGAUGAGGAGCUUGCUCCUCUGACGUUAGCGGCGGACGGGUGAGUAACACGUGGAUAACCUACCUAUAAGACUGGGAUAACUUCGGGAAACCGGAGCUAAUACCGGAUAAUAUAUUGAACCGCAUGGUUCAAUAGUGAAAGACGGUUUUGCUGUCACUUAUAGAUGGAUCCGCGCCGCAUUAUCUAGUUGGUAAGGUAACGGCUUACCAAGGCAACGAUGCGUAGCCGACCUGAGAGGGUGAUCGGCCACACUGGAACUGAGACACGGUCCAGACUCCUACGGGAGGCAGCAGUAGGGAAUCUUCCGCAAUGGGCGAAAGCCUGACGGAGCAACGCCGCGUGAGUGAUGAAGGUCUUCGGAUCGUAAAACUCUGUUAUUAGGGAAGAACAAAUGUGUAAGUAACUAUGCACGUCUUGACGGUACCUAAUCAGAAAGCCACGGCUAACUACGUG